GACGAACGCUGGCGGCGUGCUUAACACAUGCAAGUCGAACGAAGAGCGAUGGAAGCUUGCUUCUAUCAGUCGUAGUGGUGAACGGGGGAGUAACGCGUAAUCAACCUGCCCUUCAGGGGGGGACAACAGUUGGGAACGACUGCUAAUACCGCAUACGAUCUAACCUCGGCAUCGAGGAGAGAUGAAAGGUGGCCUCUACAUGUAAGCUAGCACUGAAGGAGGGGAUUGCGUCGGGUUAGCUAGUUGGAGGGGGAACGGCCCACCCAGGCGAUGAUUGGUAGGCGGGCUGGGAGGAUGAACCGCCACAUUGGGACCGAGACACGGCCCAGACUCCCACGGGAGGCAGCCGUGGGGAAUCUUCCGCAAUGGACGAAAGUCUGACGGAGCAACGCCGCGUGAGGGAUGACGGCCUUCGGGUUGUAAAGCUCUGUUUAUCGGGACGAAAGGCCUUCUUGCGAAUAGUUAGAAGGAUUGACGGUACCGGAAUAGAAAGCAACGGCUAACUACGUG
rnacentral:rRNA from 1 species